rnacentral:rRNA from 1 species
GAUGAACGCUAGCGGCAGGCUUAACACAUGCAAGUCGAGGGGCAGCGCGGGAUAGCAAUAUCCUGGCGGCGACCGGCGGAAGGGUGCGUAACGCGUGAGCGACAUGCCCGUUGCCCGGGGACAACCGGUGGAAACGCCGACUAAUCCCCGAUGGGAUAUUGUGCCGCAUGGCACGAUAUUGAAAGUUACGGCGGCGACGGAUUGGCUCGCGUCCGAUUAGCUUGUUGGCGGGGUAACGGCCCACCAAGGCUGCGAUCGGUAGGGGUUCUGAGAGGAAGGCCCCCCACAAGGGGACUGAGACACGGCCCAUACUCCUACGGGAGGCAGCAGUGAGGAAUAUUGGUCAAGGGGCGGAAGCCUGAACCAGCCAUGCCGCGUGCGGGAAGGAGGCCCUAUGGGCUGUGAACCGCUUUUGCCUGGGGGCAAUAAGGGCGUCGCGCACGUCCGAUGAGAGUACCAGGCGAAUAAGCAUCGGCUAACUCCGUG